AAGACUAUACUUUCACGCAUCAUUUUUAUAGUUCAUUUACUAGAGAAGUUUCUAUGAACAUGUAGAGCACUGGAAACCAUGAGGGAGAGAGGCAGUGUUGUCUCCUGGAGUGAAACUGGCCCUAAGUUUGCUUCUGCAAAGGCCAUUUGUCACUGAUGAUCUAUCUUUCUUCUCUUUCUUUGUGAGCGGGAGAGGGAGGGUGGAUUUGUGAGAGAGAGCCGCCUGAAUGGC
ensembl:snoRNA U3 Small nucleolar RNA U3